rfam:Buttiauxella agrestis ATCC 33320 GBAG.assembly.033, whole genome shotgun sequence.
CCAUCAUCACCAUCAUCCUGACUAGUCUUUCAGGCGAUGUGUGCUGGAAGAUGAAAAAAUCUUCCACUGGUGCAUGAACGAGUCAAUAAGCCCCCGGAAGAUUUCUUCCGGGGGCUUUUUUUU